AAUGUGGUGAGGAUGCAACCCAAACACGCUCUUACUAUCCAACGGCCCACGGUCCAGUUUUCAUGCUUCCACUGAACAUAUGGUUUCCAUCAGAUAUGUACUCCUCUGUCCUCUCGAUAACCCUAGCCGCCGCUGAUCUCCCCUCCCACGACCGCAGCUGCACGCCAUCCCUUUCCCCUUCCUCCUGCUAGCGGCGUCCCUCCACUCCGCUGGACAGUGCCGGCGACGAGCUGGACAGGGGGCGGCUGCAGGCGCUCGUGCACGUCGAAGAACCGGCGGCCGCUCCUGCAUCAAUGGCGCAGCGAGGAAUCAGAGGAGAUAUGGGAGAGAGGGAGGAGAUGGGAGGAAACUGGGGAAGGGCUCAUCGACGCGGCGGCGCUUGCCGGAGCUUGUCUGGCGGCGGGGUCACACGCGCGUGGCGCCCUCCCUGGCGGCGCAAACAGGAAGGAGGAGGCGCACGAGAGGCGUAGUGGCUGCAACCAGAUGGGCUUCGGAGGGCCGAGAUCAUGUUGCAGCGGGCCCUGGCGCUGCUGGUGGGUUGGGGGAUCUGACCUCGAUCCCAAUCUCAACUACUACACCAGAGAAGUUGGGGACGGUCAUCAGCCUGCCACGGCGAGACAGACGCGACCUUGGCUCGGCCAUGUCCGCCUCUCUGAACUGAAUGUUAUGCCUCUACUACUUGAGGAGGGUAAUAGCUGUGAGAUGUACCUGACCAUGACGCCUCGGCCACGUCCUCCUCCCUGAAAGGAAUACUAUGUCUGAAAUAUCCAAAAAAGCUUAUAUUGAUAUUAUUGAAAUUGCUUCUCUACUGCUCGAGUAAGGUAAUAAACAUGAGACGAACGCGACCCACAUCAUUGUCUCAGCUAUGUCCGCCUCUCUGAAUUGAAUAUCAUGUCUCAAAUAUCCAAAAAGCUUAUUGAGAUAUUGAUAGUGCUUCUUUACUAAUAGAAGAAGGUGCUCCCUCCGUUCUUAUUUAGAUGACAUUUUAGACAGCUGACCUUGAACUGUUUUGGACACUGUCUGAACUGUCUAAAACGUCUUAUAAAAGUGAACAGAGGGAGUAAUAGUUUUUCUAUGCGAUUCUUUUUUCCAAUUCAAUGCACUCGAGUUUCUUCUGGAUUAGUUAUCAUCAAACCUGUAGUUCUUUCUAUACUCAUGUGUUAUUUUUUCAGUUGAACACAAUGAACUUUCUAUAGAAUUUCAUGGUUCUUGCAAAGUAGCUGAGCUGGGUUGUUUUAUUCCUACAUAUUCAGGAAUUUUGUUGUGAAGCUAAAGCUGGUGUUAAGACAAAGUCCACUCUGCACAAAAAGCUGCAAAGGACAUAGUUUCGUCAAUUCACCGGCACAAAUAUUAUUUCCUAUUGAUUUGUCCCCUGGACUAGACCUAUGUAAAUACGGAAUUAUCCAUCGCUGCGCUGUUCCCAAGGACUUGCAAAAUCGAAAUAGCAAAAUUCCUGGGUUAUCUCAAUGGGUUCAGAAACCACACGUUUCUCUGGAUCAUCAUAGCAUCUAGAUUGGAAACAAUUGGAGAUAUGCUUCAUGUAAUAUUCAGGGGUGGUCAAAACCAUGUGAAGUGUUACAGUUUAAGUUUUUAUGCCUUACAUGAGUGUUAAAACGGUCAAUGGAUAUAUGGAUCUACUUGGAAAUUUUCUGGGGUUGCGUUGGGUUGGGUUGGUCUGGUAGUGGGUAGUAAAAUGAUCUGUUUGUUGGGAUCCAUCUUUUUUUCAGGGAUGUUUGUUAGGAUCCAUAGUCGAAGGGGUGAAGAGAUGAGAUUCAUUGUCUGAUCCCCACGUCCGUAAUUCGAGCCGCCGCACUGGCCUGGCCCGAGUCACUGGUAACCAGUCAUGCAUGCCGCUUCAGUGACUUGUACGUACCUCCUCGGCCUACUCACCGGUGUGGAGUGGCCAAAGCCCUCACUGCUAGCUCAAAUAGCCAUGGUGCCCAUGUACGAUGAUUUGAUCGAUUGGCCUAAUCGAUCACCUACCAAUCCAUGCAUAUAGGAGGAGCUUAUCAUUGACAUCAUUAUAUUUGGCUUAAAAGUUCGGAGAUGGACAAGCUCACACCAACAAUGCCAUCUCUAUCGUUUAACAAUUUAACAAGAUAGUGUGCAUUUUUCAAUGCAAAUUAACCACUAGAUUGUGUUUCUGGAUUGUCACUCAAGGAUUAUUGCCUGAAAGUUCAUACAUGGAUGCCAUCUUUGUCGCUUACCAAGUUAUAAAGAAAAUGUGCAUGUAUCAAGGGCAAACCACUAGAUUAAAUUUCAGGAUUAUCACUCUCGGAUGAGCUUGGACACCUUGAGGUUACAAUCAGGAACUCUUAUACUUCUCGAUCAUGCACAUCUUUAAUACUAAGUGAUGUUGUUUUACCAACUACAUGUUCAUGUUUCAGAUUAUCAAGAAUGAUGAGCUCCAAGAACUCUCAUGGUAAAUGGAGGGUCUCUGAUGUUGCAAUAAAAAGAAAUGACAGAUGUUUUCUAGGAAGCCAUCUCAACAAGACAAAAUUGUAAAUCCUUAUAUUUUAGAUUUUCUGUCCAUCAUAAAUUCAUAAUGCAGUGUAGCGAUAAUAACAUCCAAAUGUAAUUUCUUUGAGCCCAUGACGGUGAGACCGACAUGACCUCAGCUCGGCCAUGGCCGCCUCUCUGAACUGAAUGUUAUACCUCUACUACUUGAGGAGGGUAAUAGCUGUGAGAUGUACCUGACCGUGACAUCACCUCGGCCAUGUCCUCCUCCCUAAAACGAAUAUUAUGUCCGAAAUAUCCAAAAAAUGCUUAUUGAUACUACUGAUAUUGCUUUUCUACAGCUUGAGUAAGGUAAUAAACGGUGAGACGAACGCGAGCCGCAUCAUUGCCUCAGCUAUGUCCGCCUCUCUGAACUGAAUAUCAUGUGUGAAAUAUCCAAAAAGCUUAUUGAGAUAUUGAUAGUGCUUCUCUACUAAUCGAAGAAGGUAAUAGAUUUUCUAUGUGAUUCUUUUUUCCAAUUCAAUAAACUCCAGUUUCUUCUGUAUUAGUUAUUACCAAACCUACAGUUCUUUCUAUACUCAUGUGUUACUUUUUCAGUUGAACACAAUGAACUUUCUAUAGAAUUUCAUGGUUUUUGCAAAGUAGCUAGCUGGGUUGUUUUAUUCCUGCAUAUUCAGGAAUUUUGUUGUGAAGCUAAGGCUGAUGUUAAGACAAAGUCCACUCUGUCUAGAUUGGAUACAAUUGGAGACAUGCUUCACGUAAUAUUCAGGGGUGGUCAAAACCAUGUGAAGUAUUACAGUGUAAGUUUCUCUGCCGUACAUGAGUGUUAAAACUGUCAGUCAAUAUAUCGAUCUACUUGGAAAUUUUCUGGGUUUGCGUUGGGUUGGGUUGGUCUGGUAGUGGGUAGUAAAAUGAUCUGUUUGUUGGGGUCCAUCUUUUUUUCAGGGAUGUUUGUUAGGAUCCAUAGUCGAAGGGUAAAGAGAUGAGAUUCAUUGUCUGAUCCCCACGUCCGCAAUUCUAGCCCAUGGGUGCCGCUGCAUUGGCCUGCCCUGAGUCACCGGUAGCCAGUCAUACAUGCCGCUUCAGUGACUCGUACGUACCUCCUCGGCCUACUCGCCGGCGUCAAGCGGCCAAAGUCCUCACUGCUAGCUCAAAUAGCCAUGGUGCCCAUGUACGAUGAUUGGAUCGAUUGGCCUAACCCAAUCCAUGCAUAUAGGAGGAACGUAUCAUUGGCAUCAAUAUAUUUGGCUUAAAAGUUUGUAGAUGGACAAGCUCACACCAAAGAUGUCAUCUCUAUCGCUUAAUAAUUUAACAAGAUAGUGUGCAUUUAUCAACGCAAAUUAACCACUAGAUUGGAUUUCUGGAUUAUCACUCAAGGAUUAUUGCUUGAAAGUUCAUACAUGGAUGCCAUCUUUGUCGCUUACCAACUUAUAAAGAAAAUGUGCAUGUAUCAAGGGCAAACCACUAGAUUAAAUUUCAGGAUUAUCACUCUCGGAUGAGCUUGGACACCUUGAGGUUAGAAUCAGGGACUCUUAUACUUCUUGAUCAUGCACAUCUUUAAUACAAAGUGAUGUUGUUUUACCAACUACAUGUUCAUGUUUCAGAUUAUCAAGAAUGGUGAGCUCCAAGAACUCAUGGUAAAUGGAGGGGCUCUGAUGUUGCAAUAAAAAGAAAUGGCAGAUGUUUUUCCAGGAAGUCCUCUCAACAAGACAAAAUGCAUGUCAAUGCUCUCUUGAGUGGGCUUCAUUAGAUGGAGCAAUGGCUUCGUUGAGAACCAGGGAGUGUCAAGGUAUGUACUUAAUCGAGCUGUAGUUCUUGCAUUUAAUAACAGAUAGGCAGAGUCAAAGAAUGGCCAGAGAGCAUCAUGAAGUAAUGAUGGAAUUAUAUCCUGUUCUAGCUUCUGAAGUCUAAACCCAACAAUAUCCAAACCUUCUUACAGCGUUAGUCACACUUGUGGCAGCAGAAGAGAUCUUGAUAAGAUGCUGCUGCUGCUUAGUGUUGCUUGCUGCAUAAAUUCGAUCUGGUGCAGUUUCUGCUUUGCAUGCUUGCCUAAGUGUUACCUUAAUGUCAAGAGAAUAAUCUUGUACAAUGCAUAUUUUAUCUGAUUUUUGCGUAUCCAACCCAUGUGCUUUAUAUUAACCGAACUGAUUUAAGUGUCAUACUCUUGUUUUGUAUGUCAGUGGCAUGUGCAUGUAAAAUCUUUUGCAGAUAGUACAAGAACAACCAAGCCUUCUUACAGAGUGUUAGAUUGCUUGAUGCUGCUACUUCGUAUGCUUGCUUAAGUGUCACCCCAAUGUCAAGAGAAUAAUCUUGUACGAUGAAUAUUUUACCUUUUUUUUUGUUCUUGUACUGUUUUUUUUUGCUGAUCCACUACACUUGCUUUACAUUAACCAAAAUGAUUUGAGCAAGCAUACUAUUGUUUUAUUGCCAUGGGGUGUACAAGUAAAAUCCAUUGCAGAUACAAGAAUGACUUUUGUGGAGAAACAAAAUUCCCAGCCAUAUUAGCUUUGGGAAUAGUCAUCCUGCAACACCUUCUUUAAUUCCUCUCGUGGCCAUGAAUCCGUUGGUUAUAAAGUUUGCAAUAACAAAACAACAUCGUGUUUCUUGUAUACUGGAACAUUUUUUUUCCAUUUAAGGUAGCUGUUUAUUCAAUGACAUUUUCUAACUUUGUCCUACUCUAUUAUUUGGUUUCUUGGGGCUUAUCUCUAGAUUAUGGUGAAGCAAGGGGGAGUUGCUUAUACCCGAGUUGUUGCCACAAGUGACUUUCAUCCUCUAUUGUAGCUUUAGCGAAUAUAGUUGAUGCAUGAUUGCAGAUGCCAAUGAUAGGUGUAUAUGUGAGAAGAGUAUGUGCGUACAUUGGUGUAUGUCUACCAAUAAUGAUUACUAAAAUUCCAAAUUGCACAUAUUGACAGUGGAACCUCCCAGUUUCCAUUUCUCUUGAAGGCUACAUUUGCAUGUAAUUUUUUUGACAACCAAAUUGCUACAUAGACUACUUUGUUUUAGUAGUGCAGUAUUUUAUGUUCUUCCAUCAGAGGUAUUUCAUUCAUUUUUUUACACCUUUGGAUAUGUGACUUCAUCUUUCUUUUAUAUAUAAAAUAGACGCCAGAUGUGUGCAUAACUACUUCCAUGAUGAGCCGAUAUUUGUCGAGCAGGUCAUGCCACGUCUUCCCACGGAGAUCCAGUGGGGACAGCUGGGCCUGUAGCUCAGAGGAUUAGAGCACGUGGCUAUGAACCACGGUGUUAGGGGUUCGAAUCCCUCCUCUUGUCGGUCACCAUCGAGCUCCAAAAUAUGUGAUGAUGUAAAUUGUUUUAUGUGAGAUGUUUAAUGUGUACUGGUGAUGCAGCAUUUUGGACUGCUCUGAAAUAUAAACGGAUAGCUAAUUUUAGGUUGCUUCAAAAUAUGGGCCAUGUAAAUGGAAAGUUCUAUAUCGA